rnacentral:rRNA from 1 species
UAGGGUAUCUUCCGCAAUGGGCGAAAGCCUGACGGAGCAACGCCGCGUGAGUGAUGAAGGUCUUCGGAUCGUAAAACUCUGUUAUUAGGGAAGAACAAAUGUGUAAGUAACUAUGCACGUCUUGACGGUACCUAAUCAGAAAGCCACGGCUAACUACGUGCCAGCAGCCGCGGUAAUACGUAGGUGGCAAGCGUUAUCCGGAAUUAUUGGGCGUAAAGCGCGCGUAGGCGGUUUUUUAAGUCUGAUGUGAAAGCCCACGGCUCAACCGUGGAGGGUCAUUGGAAACUGGAAAACUUGAGUGCAGAAGAGGAAAGUGGAAUUCCAUGUGUAGCGGUGAAAUGCGCAGAGAUAUGGAGGAACACCAGUGGCGAAGGCGACUUUCUGGUCUGUAACUGACGCUGAUGUGCGAAAGCGUGGGGAUCAAACAGG